AUAAAAUUUAAUUUAUAUUUUAAAUUAAUUUAAAAAUUUAAAUAAUAUAUAAAUUUUAGUUUAAAAUUAAUUAAAUUAAAGUUAAUUUUUUAAUAAUUAAAAUUAAUAAAUUAAAGAAAUUUUAAAUUUGUAAAAUUUUAAUAAAUAAAUUAAAAAAGUGCCAGCAAUAGCGGUUAAACUUUUUAUUAAAAAUUAAUUUAAUUAAUUUUUAAUUAAAUAUAAAAAAUUUUUAAUAAUAUAUAAAUAUUAUAUAAUUAGUAAAAUAUCUAUAUAAUAAAAUAUAAAAAUAUAUUAAUAAAUUUUUAUUAUUAUUGAAAUUAAAAAAAAAAUUAAUAAACUAGGAUUUGAUACCCUAUUAUUAAAAAUAAAAUAAAAAAUUAAUAUAGUAAAUUUAAAUAAUUAAAUAAAUAAAUUUGACGGUAUUUUAAAUUAUUCAGAGGGUCUUAUUAUAGAAUUGAUGGUCCACGAUAAGAGAUACUUAUUAUAAUUUAAUUCUUGUUUAUAAUCGUUAAAAAAUUUUUUAAUGAAAAAUUUUAUAAUAUUUUUAAAAAAAAAUUCAGAUAAAUAUGUAGAUAUUAAUAAGAUAUAAGGAGACAUAAUAAAUUUAAAUUUAAAUAAUAUUAAUUUAAUUUAAUUAAAAUUAAAAUUUGAAAGUAAAAUUAAUUUAAUUAAUUAAUUUGAUUAAAAAUAUAAAAUAUGUACAAAUCGCCCGUCAAUUUAAUUUUAUAACUAAUUAAUUUAUAAAUUAAAAAGUAUAUAAUUAAAUAAGUCGUAACAAAGUAAAAGUACUGGAAAGUGUUUUUAGAAUAAU
rnacentral:rRNA from 1 species